AGGGAGCGCGCCUUGGCUCGCUGGCCUUGGCGGCGGCUCCUCAGGAGAGCUGGGGCGCCCACGAGAGGAUCCCUCACCCGGGUCUCUCCUCAGGGAUGACAUCAUCCGUCCACCUCCUUGUCUUCAAGGACCACCUCCUCUCCAUGCUGAGCUGCUGCCAAGGGGCCUGCUGCCCAUCUACACCUCACGAGGGCACUAGGAGCACGGUUUCCUGGAUCCCACCAACAUACAAAGCAGCCACUCACUGACCCCCAGGACCAGGAUGGCAAAGGAUGAAGAGGACCGGAACUGACCAGCCAGCUGUCCCUCUUACCUAAAGACUUAAACCAAUGCCCUAGUGAGGGGGCAUUGGGCAUUAAGCCCUGACCUUUGCUAUGCUCAUACUUUGACUCUAUGAGUACUUUCCUAUAAGUCUUUGCUUGUGUUCACCUGCUAGCAAACUGGAGUGUUUCCCUCCCCAAGGGGGUGUCAGUCUUUGUCGACUGACUCUGUCAUCACCCUUAUGAUGUCCUGAAUGGAAGGAUCCCUUUGGGAAAUUCUCAGGAGGGGGACCUGGGCCAAGGGCUUGGCCAGCAUCCUGCUGGCAACUCCAAGGCCCUGGGUGGGCUUCUGGAAUGAGCAUGCUACUGAAUCACCAAAGGCACGCCCGACCUCUCUGAAGAUCUUCCUAUCCUUUUCUGGGGGAAUGGGGUCGAUGAGAGCAACCUCCUAGGGUUGUUGUGAGAAUUAAAUGAGAUAAAAGAGGCCUCAGGCAGGAUCUGGCAUAGAGGAGGUGAUCAGCAAAUGUUUGUUGAAAAGGUUUGACAGGUCAGUCCCUUCCCACCCCUCUUGCUUGUCUUACUUGUCUUAUUUAUUCUCCAACAGCACUCCAGGCAGCCCUUGUCCACGGGCUCUCCUUGCAUCAGGUAGGGGCUUUGCAGAGACCAUCGACGGGCUGACUUGAGUAAGAACACGAAUUAUGCAUGUGGCCAUUUCCAGAGCACUUUCUAUGUGAUAUGAACAUGUGAUUUUUAUGUAAUAUGUGUAUGUAAACGAGGCAGCCUCAUUUCCAGGUGAGGAUGCAUUUGGUAGUGUUGAUUUUUGUAAUUUAAAGAAGCUGAAAGGGAGAGAGGACCCGUGAGGACUGAACUCUCUGUCCCAUGGGGUAGGGCUUACAUUUACAUUAAAGAAACAGAAACUUGCUGGGAGGUGUAAGUAUUUGGUCACAUUGCUGGCAACAGAAGGGGUUGGAGUUGGACCCAGGGUGCCACGCUAGCUGCCCUCACCCCUUCUUCCCCUCUGGCCCAGAGUUAUACUAAGAGUCCUUUUAUUUCAAACCAAAUGUUUGACAAUGGGACAGUCUGUUUGAAAUCCCAGCUGCCUGGGGUGGUCUUGGGGGUCUGGGUGGCCCCAGUGCUGGUACCAUGUGCUGGCUUCACCUUUUAAUAACAGUGUGACCUUAAACAAGUCGCUUAACUACUCUAAGUUUCAGUUUCUUUCAUGGUCUAAAUGGAGAUUAAAACACACACACACACACACACACACACACACACACACACACCCCCUCGUGUAUCUACCCCACAGGGCGCUUUUGAAGACCAAAUGCUGUAACUACUAUGAAAGUGCUUUGUAAAUUGCUGUGGAAAGUGUGAGCUACUCAAGCACCCGAGGCUGUCCCUCCUUGCUCACAUGUCCAGCCCAAUUCUCCCUUAGUGAGAACAGCACUCAGUAGGUGCUGUGUGUGUUUGUGUUCAAUUAAGAAAUUCCAGAAUAAAUAAAAAUGAAUUAAUUCAACAAACAUUUUCUGGGGCACCGACAAUCUGCCCAGUGCACCAGGCUAGGUAUCUGAUACAAAGAUAAUGAAAACAGUCUCUUGGAACCUAAUUGGGGUCCUCAUUUGACCAGGAAUUUCUUUCGUCCCGUUUUAAGCCAACCAGUUUUGUCCGGACAAGACAAAAACAACUUGGGCUGCUUUAGAGAAGCCCAGCUCAGUGUAGACAAUAGCUGCCCAGCCUCUGAAAGGGGCUGAUUGGAUUAUGUGGCAAAUGGAGGUGCAAGGAUGACUUGGACGGUGACAAAUGAAGUGGGCGGAGACCUGCUUUGAGUUAAUCCAGGCUAUUAGGAGGGGACCUUUUGUCUUCCAGAGACUGGCAGGAGCUUUUACCAGUGGUUUUUACAUCCUUAAUGUUCAGGACGAAUAAUUUAUGGUCAGUGAAAAUCCAGGCCCCAGUGAGAUUCGAGUGGGCUGUAAAAUCGAGAGUCCUGCUCCCAGUGAGUAAUGGUAGUGAAUGUUUCUGUCACUUUUUGCAACCGUCCAUUCAUUUGAUCCUCACAACUCCCUGUCCUGAGCCAGGACCGGCCACUGCCACUCCCAGGGAAACAGAGGCUGUCAAGAGGCUCCACAGAUUGGGCCCCACUGGAUCAUUGAACCCCUGUUCCCUGAGUUCUAGAGGAAGAAUUGUACCUGUCUCAGUCCCGGCCACCUCCAGAAGGCCUCCCUCUGCAUUUCUGACUUUGCUGUGCCGGCAGCCUGGAGCCUCCCAGGUCCCUGCUGUCAUCUUUUCUAGCCACUACAGUCUCUGUCUUUCCUUUCACAGCCAAGCUUCUUGAAAGGCCUGUCUACACUUGCUGUCUUCCUUCCUCACCUCCAAUUUCCUCUUCAACCCACUGCUUCCUGACUCGCUCUACUCCGUGGAAGCACGCUCACAAAGGUAAAGACUUUUCUGUGGCUUAAUCCUUGUCAUGUUUUCGGCUCAUGGACACAAGGACACAUUUUCAUGCCUUCUCUCACAGGGCUCUGCGUCUCCGGUUCACUUCUGUGUCUUUACACUCCCUUCACAGAGACACUUGCUCCCCCUUCUCUCGUUCUUAGCAUCCCCUAGGAACUUGCACACCCAGGUCUCUCGACUUCUGGACCUGCUUCUUACCAUGCCGUCUUAAGCAGUCAGGAGUCGCUGCCUGGGUUCGAGUCCUAGUUAAAUUACUUAGUGCUGAGACCUUGGGGUAGGUAAACUUUUCCAAGCCAGGUUUAUCUCAGUUUCAAAAUAGGGUUAAUCGUCUUUAUCUGGCAGGUCAGGUGGGAUGUCUCACAGGUAAGCACCAGAUGCCAUUUGAAAGGCUUGAAGCAAAGUCAAUAAAGCAUUCAUGGGAAAAUACAACUGGAGGCACCACUAGAUUUUCGUAUACAUUAGGUUCCCACGGGGAGGACCGAAGAGAGAAGAAAGAAGUGGAAAGGGAGGAGCGUGCAGGAGAGACAGGAGAAGAGAAUAACUAAACAAAGACAUUAAAGACAAAAAAAAAGUAGGAAAGGGAGACUUAGAAAAUAUUAAAAGCCACCAAAAACACAUCCAAAGACGGUUUCCCCUUACGUUAGUUGGGCUAAAAGAAAGCAAAUGGGAAGAAGGUUUUAAAUUGAUUAUCCCAGUGACAAAUCCCAGGAAGCUUUCACAUCAAAUCACCCUAUUCUGGGUUUUUAACUCCUUCCAUCGAGUUUAACCUCUUUACCUCCCACAUCCUGGUAAACCCUGCCCCCUCCCUACCGCCCCCUUUGCUGGUGAUUAAAUCCUGAAGGUACACGAAGUAUUUCAGUGAAUGAAUGGCUAACAGAAAAGGGCCUCCCCUCCCCCUUACCCUGGCGGUGUUUUUCAGUUUUAUUCCACUUUCCGCCCUUUUCCCUUAAUGAACACAGGGCUAAUCUCGGGCCUUGUCGAAGGAAGAGGCUGCAGACGUUAAUGAGGUUAGCUGCUGGAUUCCAGUAUUCGUCGCAUAAGGAUCCUUCUUUGUCUGCGAAGGAAAAACACACUGAUUAUCAUAAUGAGGUGAACUGGCCACCGCCGGGCCGGGGCGAUGUGGCUUCUUAAGCCACACUUCUAAUUUUGGUGAUGGAGCCGACAUUUCUUUGGCUUCUCAUUUAAGUCUUUGCCUCUGUCCCAGUGCGAAGUCCAUUCAGCGGGGUUGAAAGUUGCAGGCAGCUUUGGGAAGGGGGGCGUCGGACAGGGUUGCAUUGUAGAAAGUGGCUUUGUUCGAUCCUUCGCACAGAUGCAAAUGGCCAGAGCAUUCAUUCCCUUUCUUCAAGAGCUGAGGACUGGGGGGGCCACUGGUGAUCAGUUCCCAACUCUAGCUCUCCUCUGACUCAUCUCAGGACCCAUUGAGGACAUCCAAAACUCACUCAAGAUCACCAAGUGGUAGGAAAGUACUAACUCCUGGGCAUAGCCCUAGGGGAGUGACUACAAUGUGAAUACUCAUGGAAUGCCUAGCCAGGUGAAGAAGUGAAUGCAUGUUGGCAUCCCAGAGGGACCCCCCUUAAGAGGGCAUAGUUUGGGGUUCAGAUUUGACUCCAGCAUACUGUUGAAAUUGGGCACAGGGGGCUAGUGAUUAGUCAGGAUCAAUCAGUGGAGAGGAGAUUAAAACUCACAUCUGGGAGUCCGGAAUCAGAACUUGUAGUUCUUUUUUUUGAAAUGGAGUCUCGCUCUGUCGCCCAGGCUGGAGUGCAGUGGCGUGAUCUCGGCUCACUGCAACCUCUGCCUUCCGGGUUCAAGCAAUUCUCCCACCUCAGCCUCCUGAGUAGCUGGGAUUACAGGCGCCCACCACCACAGCCGGCUACUUUUUGUAU
rnacentral:lncRNA from 1 species